AGUAACGCGUGGGUAACCUGCCUUAUACAGGGGGAGUAACAACCAGAAAUGGUUGCUAAUACCGCAUAAGCGCACAGGACCGCAUGGUCCGGUGUGAAAAACUACCGGUGGUAUAAGAUGGACCCGCGUUGGAUUAGCUAGUUGGCAGGGUAACGGCCUACCAAGGCGACGAUCCAUAGCCGGCCUGAGAGGGUGAACGGCCACAUUGGGACUGAGACACGGCCCAGACUCCUACGGGAGGCAGCAUG
rnacentral:rRNA from 1 species